GGACAACCUACCCUAUGGAGGGGGAUAACCCCGGGAAACUGGGGAUAAUACCCCAUAGACUAUAGAUGCUGGAAUGCUUUGUAGUUGAAAGGUCCGCCGCCAUAGGAUGGGUCUGCGGCCGAUUAGGUUGUUGUUGGGGUAACGGCCCAACAAGCCUGUAAUCGGUACGGGUUGUGGGAGCAAGAGCCCGGAGAUGGAUUCUGAGACACGAAUCCAGGCCCUACGGGGCGCAGCAGGCGCGAAAACUUUACAAUGCGGGAAACCGUGAUAAGGGAACUCCGAGUGCCCGUAAAAUCGGGCUGUCCAUCUGUUUAAAUAACAGGUGAAGAAAGGGCCGGGCAAGACCGGUGCCAGCCGCCGCGGUAAUACCGGCGGCUCGAGUGGUGGCCACUAUUACUGGGCUUAAAGCGUUCGUAGCUGGUCUGUUAAGUCUCUGGGGAAAUCUACUGGCUUAACCAAUAGGCGUCUCAGGGAUACUGGCAGACUAGGGACCGGGAGAGGUGAGAGGUACUCCAGGGGUAGGAGUGAAAUCCUGUAAUCCUUGGGGGACCACCUGUGGCGAAGGCGUCUCACCAGAACGGCUUCCACAGUGAGGGACGAAAGCUGGGGGAGCAAACCGGAUUAGAUACCCGGGUAGUCCCAGCCGUAAACGAUGCGCGUUAGGUGUAUCGGUGACCACGA
rnacentral:rRNA from 1 species